GUCAUGAGACAAUCGCUGCACAUUGUGUAGAGGAAAGUCCAUGCUCGCACUGGCUGCGAAGCUAGUAGUGAUCGUGCCUAGCCAAUAAAUAAGCUAGGGCAGUUGUCAUAACUGACGGCAAGAGGCUUCCCUAAAUCGUUUAACGACACGGGAUACACUCUUUGAAAGUGCCACAGUGACGAAGUCUGCUUGGAAACGAGUAGAGUGGAACGAGGUAAACCCCACGAGCGAGAAACCCAAACAAUGGUAGGGGCAUUUUGUAGUCCGAAAUUGAACGGAACUAUAAGGACGGUAAUUCGUAGAUAGAUGAUUGUUACUGGAGUACGAGGUUCAUCACCGUUUGCAGUACAAAAGGACAGAACAUGGCUUAUGAUU
rnacentral:RNase_P_RNA from 1 species